AACGAACGCUGGCGGCAGGCUUAACACAUGCAAGUCGAACGCAUCCUUCGGGGUGAGUGGCAGACGGGUGAGUAACGCGUGGGAACGUGCCCUUCAGUUCGGGAUAACCCAGGGAAACUUGGGCUAAUACCGGAUACGUGCGAGAGCAGAAAGAUUUAUCGCUGAAGGAUCGGCCCGCGUCUGAUUAGCUAGUUGGUGGGGUAAUGGCCCACCAAGGCGACGAUCAGUAGCUGGUCUGAGAGGAUGAUCAGCCACAUUGGGACUGAGACACGGCCCAACCUCCUACGGGGGGAAGCAGUGGGAAAUAUGGGAAAAUGGGCGAAAGCCUGACCCAGCCAUGCGGCGUGAGUGAUGAAGGCUUUAGGGUUGAAAAGCUCUUUCGUCCGGGACGAUAAUGACGGUACCGGAAGAAGAAGCCCCGGCUAACUUCGUGCCAGCCGCCGCCGUAA
rnacentral:rRNA from 1 species